CUGAAGUGUAAAUAGUGUUUUUUUUGUGUGUGUGUGUGUGAUUUAUGUGUUUUUGUGUAACUAACAUUAUUAACAGUGGUUGUACUCAAACAAAAUUACCAUCAGUGACUGUACUCUUAACUGUUGAGUACAGAAAGGACUCGUAAGAGGGAGAAAAGACGAUAUUAAAGACUAAUUUAGUGUUGACACGGUAGUUAAACGUCACAGAAAACGUGAUCACCACACCUGGACAACGAUGCCACAUACGUCAGGUGAACACAGACAAGACGAGACGAUACCUUGAGGACUCUUAAGAAAUGUUCUACGUUAAGGUCCUGGUCGUUAACUACCACCUGAAGCAACACCUGGCAGAUACACACACGUCAACAACCACACCGUCAGCACACGGCUGUGGUGACACGCUGCAGGUGGUGAUGCCGUCCACACCUCCCUACUGACGGUGUUAAGGCAACUACUCCGGAAUUACAGUGUUUUGAAAAUAUUUCCCUUAUUCAUGAGAGACUUCCAUUAGUGAGGUGAGACGGUCGUCCCAGAGUGACUUGAAGCCUUCAACAAUUACUGUGACCUGUCUACAACAUGUGGAGUGACCCACAGCACUGUGACAUGACCUCUGGCUCCAAGCAUAUAUUGAGUGACCUCCAGCAGUGACUUGUCCUUCCAAGCAACAUGGCGUGACCUACAGCACUGUGACCUGACCUCUG